CCUGUCAUUGUCUUUAGCCCUGGAAACAGCUGUGAAGGGGUCUGUCAGGGUUGACUGGUGAAAUCUUCCCCCGCUCCCAGAGAAUGAAAAAUGUCUUGAUAAAUAAAGGGUAACCAUUACAGUUGAAUGGUUUAACUUAUGUCUCUGAGGUAAACAGGAGAAUAUGCUCAGUCACACAGGCCUCGGCUUCUUAGUUUUGGCUGCUUCAAUUUGCUUCAUUUUACCUCAGAACUGGUAGGCCAAAUAAGCUUCAAAACACAAGGAAAUUUGAUGACCCAUUAUGUUCAUGCCAUGAGGACAUGAGAUCUGAUGUCCAGUCCGAGAUAUUGUACUAGCCUACAAAAUGAUAACCAUGGAAACACAAUUUGUUUCAGUCCUCCAAGCGCCGUAGGCUGGUGGUAACAGCAAAUACUGGGAUUCUUGCUCCACAUCAUAAGCUUGCAGGAGCAGGGAAAUGCACAUUGUAAUGAUGAAGACAGAUCUCAAACAACGUUUCCCCAAAUACUACAUAAUCUGCAUAAACAACUGCAGUGGGAAAGAUAUGUUCAACUGAUAAUCUCAAAAUUAACAAAAUUGCAUUUCGACACGACAGAAACAGAAAAAAAAUACUGAAAUCCGUUCUGGUGUCUGUCAGUGUAAUGGUGCUGAAGAAUGCUGGGAUGGUGCUGAAGAAUGCUAUUGAUGCUGCCAACAGAUUUAUUCUUAAUAAAGAAUAUUCUUGGUCUUCUCAACUAGGGUUCGUUAAACGAGUUGAAGGAGGCUGGAAAAAAGGAACAACAUGCUAUGGGAUGGUGGAAUGGCGGUGGAAUCAAGUAUGGAAGAAGUUGCCAUGCUAAGAGAGCAUAUCCUCGCCAGGGUGUGGGGGGCAUUUGAGGAUGACACUAGAAGUACAGACUAUACUGAUCAGCAAGGAAGGAAGAUUCAAAUACUGUACACAUAAGUGAUGGUGUUAGCUGUCCAUUCCACUUUUAUGUCAUCUGCAACCUCCACUCUGUCAUCUAAAUCACUGAUAAAGAUGUUGAAAAGUACUCGACCAAGGACAGAAGCCUGCUGUGCCCCAUUCAAAACCUUUCUCCAGCUUGAUGAGCACUGUGAGCAUGGUUUUCCAACCAGUAAGUGAACCCACCUGACAAUAUUAUCCCCUAGCCCAUAUCUGACUAUCUGCUACCCAAUUUUUUAAUGGGGAACUUUUGUCAAAUGCUUUGCUAAAACCAAGAUAAAGUAUAUCCACAGCAUUCCCACAAUACACAACACCUACACACACACACACACAUAUAUAUAUAUAUACACACAUACAUACAUACACACACACAUAUAUGUGUGUGUGUCAGGAUUUAUACUGGCUUCUAUUAAUUGCUUAAUUGUUAAUUUAUAUUGGCUUCUA